CAAAAUGUCCAAGGAGCUUCUUCUCUUCUGGCUAGUGACAGAGCUCUGGUGCCUUUAUCUGACACCAGCUGCCUCCCAGGAUACAGUAACAGGGUUUUUGGGCCAGUCGGUGACUUUGCCUUGUCGGCACACAUCCUGGUCCAGGAACCGCAACAGCAUGUGCUGGGGCAAAGGUGCAUGUCCCAAUUCCAAGUGCAACCAGGAGCUUCUCCACACAGAUGGAACAAAAAUCAUCUCCAGGAAGUCGUCCAAAUACGCACUUAGGGGGAGUAUCUGGCGGGGUGAUGUGUCCUUGACCAUCUCAAACACCAAUCAAGAUGACAGUGGGGUGUACUGCUGCCGUAUAGAGGUGCCUGGCUGGUUCAAUGAUGUCAAGAAGACUGUGCGCCUGGAGCUGAGGAAAGCUUCGUAGUAUUCUCUGCCUCUAAGAUUGGAGCUUUCCAAAACAUAGCAGUUGUGGGGUCCCAAGCUGAAGACAGUGUCUACAUAAUUGAAGACAUAUGUUACUCUAUGGAAUGAGUCCCAGUGGCCCUCUACCAUCCUUCUGCCUGAGAGUGGAAAGACAACAACCGGAUUGGACAGUGCAAACACCCUUUACAGCUCCAGGGCUAUUUUCUGUGUUGGUUCAUCCAGCAGAGGUGGGGAGGGCAACCCUCAGCUGUUUGUACUCAAACUCACUGUUAACAUCAUCUUAAUUCUUAUGUUCACACUGCUUCAGUCUCUCCAAACACUGCAGUGCAUUCUCUCAAACAUGAACAUUUUAGAAUGUUGUGUUUCCUUUCAUCAGUAGUAUAGAAAAUAGACUGCUGCCUUCGUUAUUAAAACCAUUAAGAGAGAAAUAGGAUUGAAAAGUUAAAAAAAAAAGUGAGCACAGGUAGGAUGGGCAUCCUGAAUUUAGAAACAUUUCAUAAUCAUGAUUUAUCUAUUUUAUUGUAAUUUGAAAUGUCAUUUCCCCUCCCAUCCCCAAAGGAUAAAACCAUGGGAAUAUGCAGGUUUUAAUUUUCCUAAUAGAUAAAUAGAAGGAAAUCUAAUGUCACCAUUAGAGUUGGCUGUGCCUUCUCACAGCUCUGGAAAUACGAUGCAUUAUGAUGUGGUUGAUCUUAGGAUAGGGAUGGGUGUUCCAUGUCAGGAGAGGUUGCCAUGGUGAGAGUGGACCAGGCAGACAUCAGGGAAGAAAAUAGUGGACAAGGACUGAGUUCAUCAGUGCUGUUUCCACUGCAGUCUGACUUGGUGCUCAGUGUCCUGUCCUCACCCACUGAACUCUGAAUUAGGUGCUGGAAGGAGACAAUGCAGAAAUGAAGGGGAAGGGGGUGAGCAGGACCCAGGCUCUCUGCCUGAGGAAAGUCCUGUUCCAGGAGUGACAGAGUUUGGGACUAUCACUGGUUUCAUUCAGAGUUCCAAAUUUAUAAUUGCCUCCGGAUCAUAUUUAUAUUUAAAUUUAUUUCAGAAAGACAAAGCAUUUUUCAUAGUGGAUCAGUUUGUCACAAUCAGUGAAAUAUUUGGUUUUGCUAGAGUUAACAAAGGCAGUUGUGUUGGUGUAUUGAUAUAUCUGUUGCUAGUUUGGUUGUUGAGAAGUGAAGACAUGCAUGAGGGUAUUAAUUUCUAUAUCAGAGUGAGUAAUCCCUGACUCCAGUUAGAGACACUCAGCCCAUAGGAUGCUGGGUCUCAGUCCACAGUGCACUGCUGUUCCACAGAGUUCUAAGAAAUGAAUAUGUGUCUGAUUGUGGGUUUCUUGGGGAGGUCAGAUGGUAGGAAGUCACAUUCUUCUGCAUCCCUUCUCUGCUCUAAAAAUGUUUGUGUUUAAUCUACAGUGUUUCACUCACUUUUCUUAUUUUUUUUUUCUAUUUGCUUUUUAAAGACAUUUACUUUGGUAUAAAAUGUUGUUUCAUAGGUUCUUAAUUUUCUUUUUUAAUUUUUUUUCUUAAAUCUGAGGCAACCGCACAUCAAAACAGACCUUUUGCAAUGAUAGCCUGGAUUUGUAGUUUUUCUAGAAAGAUUUGUCAAGAUCAGCCUGGGUUUUAGAGUGAUGGAACCACUAGAUGGGGCCAUCUGCUGUGCACUCCCCUGCCUCCUUCCUGAUUCCUGUCUGGUGGCUGCAAGAGCUCUGAGAUUGUGAUGUCUGCUCUGUUCUUUAUUCUUCCUAGAGAUGCCUGACAGACAUGAAGGGGUCUGCAGAUCUGUCUCACUAUCCCACCUCGCAUUUCCAAAUCGUGUUUGAAUUCAAGAACAUGGUGACUAGUGACAUUCUGUAAAAGCAUGUGGGACUCAAUGGAAAAUAGGUCUUUUAUAUGGGCUCCAAUACUGUCAGGGUAACCUCCAUGUCUGAUUCCCCUGUCUGUUUGCUGUUAUGUCUGCACUUACCUUGGUGGACAGUGGUCAUUGCAAUGAGAGGUGACCGGUGAGAAGUCUUUGAGCAGUGAAAACAUUCCAGAAUGCAUGUGCCAACCCUAGCAGAUGUUAGUAGUAAUAGGUGAUGUUGAGUUACAGCUGAGUCAAUGAUUUUCAUAUUAUUACAACCACAAGCCUAUUUUGCAUAAUGUCUGAUAGGUCUUUAAAAUAAUCAUGUUUCUCUUUUACAUAGUUGGUGUUUGUAUUUUUUAUAUUGUAGAAAAAAAUUAUCAGUUGAGAGGAUGGAUAGAAAUUUGUUGAUAUUCCCACAGAUAAAUCAGUCUUGUUGAUUUUAUUCAAUUUUCUUUUAAUCUUGAACUUUCAAAACAAUAUUGAUUGUGUUGCCUAUAACCUGUUGUGGAAUAGCUCCUUAUAAAACUUAACAACUAUGUUUUUUUUUUAUUUUUAUUUUUUAGAAUAGGGUCUCACUAUGUUGCCCCAGCUUAGCUGGAACUUCCUGUCUAUUUGGACCAGGCUGGCCUCAACCUCACAGAGAUCCUUUUGUAUCUGCAUCCCAAGAGCUGGGACUAAAAGUGUGUGGCAUCUUCAUACCCAUCUUGACUACACAUUUAAACUUCAUGGAACUAUGCACAUCUUAUGAAGCAACAAAACCAGUCCUUCUCUGAGAGCUGUGUGCAUAAAUUUGAUAGUAAUAAAGAUGGGAUAUUGGAUAGUUGUCUGACUUCAGCUGUGUGCACUUUCACUAAUUAAAAAUUAUUGUU